rnacentral:rRNA from 1 species
GACGAACGCUGGCGGCGUGCUUAACACAUGCAAGUCGAACGGAAAGGCCCUGCUUUUGUGUGGUGCUCGAGUGGCGAACGGGUGAGUAACACGUGAGUAACCUGCCCUUGACUUUGGGAUAACUUCAGGAAACUGGGGCUAAUACCGGAUAGGAGCUCCUGCUGCAUGGUGGGGGUUGGAAAGUUUCGGCGGUUGGGGAUGGACUCGCGGCUUAUCAGCUUGUUGGUGGGGUAGUGGCUUACCAAGGGUUUGACGGGUAGCCGGCCUGAGAGGGUGACCGGCCACAUUGGGACUGAGAUACGGCCCAGACUCCUACGGGAGGCAGCAGUGGGGAAUAUUGCACAAUGGGCGGAAGCCUGAUGCAGCAACGCCGCGUGCGGGAUGACGGCCUUCGGGUUGUAAACCGCUUUCGCCUGUGACGAAGCGUGAGUGACGGUAAUGGGUAAAGAAGCACCGGCUAACUACGUG